UGAACAUGGCGUAAUGCUCAGUAACACGUGGAUAACCUACCCUCAGAUUUGGCAUAAUCUCGGGAAACUGAGAAUAAUUCCAAAUAGUUCUUUUUGGCUGGAAUGCAUUAAGAAUUAAAGAUAUUUCGUCUGAGGAUGGGUCUGCGACCUAUCAGGUUGUAGAGGGUGUAACGUACCCUCUAGCCAACAACGGGUACGGGUUGUGAAAGCAAGAGCCCGGAGAUGGAUUCUGAGACAUGAAUCCAGGCCCUACGGGGCGCAGCAGGCGCGAAAACUUUACAAUGCAGGAAACUGUGAUAAGGGAACACCGAGUGCUUACAUCUUAUGUAAGCUGUCUAUAUACUUAAAUCGUAUAUAAUAGCAAGGGCCGGGCAAUACCGGUGCCAGCCGCCGCGGUAAUACCGGUGGCCCGAGUGGUAGCCACUUUUAUUUGGUCUAAAGGGUCCGUAGCCGGUUUGGUUAGUCCAUUAAGAAAUCCAAAUGCUCAACAUUUGGGCUAUUAGUGGAUACUUCUAAACUUGGGAUCGGGUGAGGUAAGAGGUACUAUAGGGGUAGGAGUGAAAUCUUGUAAUCCUUAUGAGACCACCUGUGGCGAAGGCGUCUUACUAGAACGAGUCCGACGGUGAGGGACGAAAGCUGGGGGCACGAACCGGAUUAGAUACCCGGGUAGUCCCAGCCGUAAACUAUGCUCGCUAAGUGUCAGAUAUAGCAUGACUGUAUCUGGUGCUGUAGGGAAGCCGUGAAGCGAGCCACCUGGGAAGUACGGCCGCAAGGCUGAAACUUAAAGGAAUUGGCGGGGGAGCACAACAACGGGUGGAGCCUGCGGUUUACCUGAAUCGCUGAGAGGAGGUGCAUGGUCGUCGCCAGUUCGUACUUUGAAGCAUCCUGUUAAGUCAGGCAACGAGCGAGACCCGUGCCUACAGUUGUCAGCAUUAUCUCCGGAUAGAUGGAAACUCUGUAGGGACCGCUGAUGCUAAAUCAGAGGAAGGUGCGGGCUACGGUAGAUCAGUAUGCCCCGAAUCUCUUGGGCUACACGCGGGCUACAAUGGACGGGACAAUGGGUUACUACCUCGAAAGAGGACGUGAAUCUCAUAAACCCGUUCGAAGUUCGGAUCGAGGAUUGAAACCCAUCCUCGUGAAGCUGGAAUCCGUAGUAAUCGCGUUUCAACAUAGCGCGGUGAAUACGUCCCUGCUCCUUGCACACACCGCCCGUCAAACCAUCCGAGUGAGGUAUGGGUGAGGGUAUGGACAUUGGUGCCGUAUUCAAACCUGAAUUUUGCAAGGAGGGUUAAGUCGUAACAAGGUAGCCGUAGGGGAAUCUGCGGCUG
rnacentral:rRNA from 1 species